AGGGAAUCUUCCGCAAUGGGCGAAAGCCUGACGGAGCAACGCCGCGUGAGUGAUGAAGGUCUUCGGAUCGUAAAACUCUGUUAUUAGGGAAGAACAAAUGUGUAAGUAACUGUGCACGUCUUGACGGUACCUAAUCAGAAAGCCACGGCUAACUACGUGCCAGCAGCCGCGGUAAUACGUAGGUGGCAAGCGUUAUCCGGAAUUAUUGGGCGUAAAGCGCGCGUAAGCGGUUUCUUAAGUCUGAUGUGAAAGCCCACGGCUCAACCGUGGAGGGUCAUUGGAAACUGGGAAACUUGAGUGCAGAAGAGGAAAGUGGAAUUCCAUGUGUAGCGGUGAAAUGCGCAGAGAUAUGGAGGAACACCAGUGGCGAAGGCGACUUUCUGGUCUGUAACUGACGCUGAUGUGCGAAAGCGUGGGGAUCAAACAGGAUUAGAUACCCUGGUAGUCCACGCCGUAAACGAUGAGUGCCAAGUGUUAGGGGGUUUCCGCCCCUUAGUGCUGCAGCUAACGCAUUAAGCACUCCGCCUGGGGAGUACGACCGCAAGGUUG
rnacentral:rRNA from 1 species